CGCUUCUUUCUCUUCCCCCGACUCAAACAGGUUCCGAAAGAACGGCACCGCGGCUCGAUCCAGGCCAUUCAAGAGACCGUGACGAGGCACCUUGACUGGGGUUCACCUUAAAAUCGACCUACACUCCGAAAACUCUAAGGCGAUUGGGGACCGGUGCACUGCUUAUUGUUAGUUAAAACUCCCCACAACCCGACCCACGCGAAAAGGUCUCCCUCCGUCGCUGUCUGGGCGGAAAAAGUUCAGUCAAAUUACUUUCCGGACAGACCCUGUAAUGUGGAAGAUAUCGUUUGAGUGUUUGAUGAAAAUGAACAGGUUGAUGGGAUUUACCCCAACAUGAAGUCGAUGUAGUAAAUCACGGUAUAUUGUAAACUAAAAUAUAAGUCCAUGGCAUUGCUGGAUGCUCGUUGGAAUAGGUCAAAUUCUAUCUUAUGGGACACAAAUACCGGGUUAAAAACGAGACUGAAGUUAGUAACGUUAACAUAACGAAACUAUUUUUUGUUUAUCGUGGUUUACUAAAAUUCAAACAAUCCCAAAUGUGCGAAAUAACAAUUUUUCCUAAACAUGUAUUGUUACUGUAACCUUACUAACUUCACCCUUAUGGUUAAAAUGAGUUGUAAUAAUUCUAACGAAUAUGAGGCGCCGUUAGAGACUCCGCAAGGUACGCAAUGUGGCACUGUAUUUUUUUAAUGUAAUAGUUAAGGACGUUUGUCCGGUUGUCGAACACUCCAAAGUGUUGCUCUAUGCGGAUAAUUUGAAAGUGUGUGGAGACUUUAGGACUACGGCGGAUUCCCUGAUGCUGCAGGUCGAUUUAAAUAUUAUCGAGUACUGGUGCGAGCAAAUGGUUUGACUUUCAAUGUGAAAAAGUGCAGGGUAAUUACUUUCUGUCGUCUGAACAGUUAUUUUCAUUCUAAUUGUAAGUAUUGCAUUAGCUACCGUUAGGGAUGUUGGUUAGGUCGAACCUUACUUACGCUUCGUUAAUUAAGUUACCGAAUUAGGAUUUGCACUCUAGUAUACUGAAAAUGUUAUAAAUCGGUGUUAAAUCAUAAAAUGUCUUGAAAGAAUUCAGUGUGUAAUUGAUGACAUGAUUUAUUUUGUAAAUUCGAUAAAAUAUGAAAGAAAUCACAUAAUAAAUUACAAACGUACAAAUCAUCAGGUAUGCUAGAUCAAAAUUCAUGACGUUCACUAUAAUAGUUGAUUAUAUGAUUUUUGAUGUAGUAUAUCUAUUAGUAGGGAAGGAAAUAAAGUCUAUCCAACACCGAUUUCUGCAACAUCUAGCAUUUAGUUUUGGCUUCUCCUCUAUGCACCGUUUUUACUAUAAUUAUUAGGACGUUGCGUUGCAGGAUUAUUAGGAGACAAGCGAUAUUCGCUCCCCAAAGUACUUUAGGGCUUACCAGGAUUUGUUCUACUUAUUUGAAAUUUUCAGGAACCUGGUGGAUGCUGCGGGAUUAGCGUAAAGGCUAAACUUAUCUUCUCCAAGUAGGCUUCUGCACGUUAAUCAUAAUAUUCUUAGCAUUAGAAUGCAUAAGAGUGACGUAAAUCAUCGAUCACGAUCAGUUACAGAUCGCUUAAGUAUGUUGCCAAACAUGAAUGCGCAUUGGCUCAAUCUUACUUCAACAUCCAUCUCAGAUUUCAAACGAUGGCGCGAGAUGCACUUUUUAGUUUCGAAUUAUCUAGAUUGGCAUGCUAUUAUUGCACCCAUUUUGUGGUACUUGUCAUAAUUCUUCAGUCAUUCACUGUGUAUGUCAGGGUAAUUUCUUGACUAUUAUAUCUUUGUAAAAAGGCAUUACCCAUGCAUAAUAAAUGAAUAAAUAAAGAUUUAUUUUUAUGGGACUCAAACUUAAUAGUUCAAUUUUCAAAUCGCAAAAAAGAAGCUGUAUACCAAAAUUUGGUGAAUUAUGUGUACUUUGAGAGUAAUAUGAUCAAUAAUAUUGGAUUUUUUCCCCAUUUCUUAUCACCAAGUUUGAUAGAAAUUGAUUUCAAUUAAAUUUUUGCACAAAACUCUAAUUGCAAAUCCCAAUCAAUCCCAAAAAAAAGCUCCAUAUCUACACAAAAUACAUAACAGACCAGAUUUAGCCUCAUAAACAGAAGUCGAGCAACACUUCAGGAACUUUCUAAGAUCAUUGUACACUACAGUUCAUUUUAUUGAGUACUAAGAGUGAAUGAGAAGAUGAAGUUCCUAAUAAACGAUGUAAUAAUUCAUGUACUCAAACAUUAUCUGAGGGCAGAUUUGCAGACGUUGCGAAUAAGUCGAUGAUAUAAAAAGUAGAAUUUACUCAACUGGGUGUUUUUAUUUCAGAAAUUUCGCCAUGAGCAACGGUCUCGUGAAUUUUCCUUCCUACACCGGAGCAACGCUUUGCAGUCUCUGCAUUUACAAGGACGCUGCAGCGGACGGCACUGACAAACAUAUUUGCAGCGGCCUAACAGACUCUGGACUUGUUCAGGGCGGUCAGUUACAGAGACCCAUUAGUAGUGGCAAUAGCACCAGCAGCAAUAGCAGCGAAACUUCGGAAAAUCAACAUAUCGCCAUGUCACCUCUGCAAUAAAUCUGCAUGUAGAUACGCGAAACCUAAAUAUUUAAUUGUAAGUUAGUAACGUUGUUGCGUCAAGAUUAACGUUUCGGAAAAUCAUUAUUUCACAAUUGCAGCAAUGUCUGAAAUUCAGUAAAUCAUAAUAAAGCAAAAUGUAUUCAUACUUUGAAAUCCUAAUUACUUCAAAGUCAUUAGAAACUUGCUAACCAGUAACCCCCACCCCCCCACCCCCCCCGGCCCCAUCUUCGUUACGUCAACGUUACGAACUUUAGCUUCAUAAAUAUCACACUUUCGAACAUGUUUGAAAGUCAACCACAUCCAUUUUUGUUUGCAAUAUUAUGGAUGCUAAAUUCUCGGAGAUGAAAAACUAUUUAUCAAAUAUUUGAUGUAUGAAAAUUAUUCCUUGGUAAAAAUGUGUUGCGUGAAAUGAUGUCUGAAGAAUUUAGUUUUACAACAUCGAUCAUGAAGAGAUUGAUUUUAUGAUAUUUGCCAAGCGGAUUUAAACGUUGACAUGCAAUCAAUAUGGCCAAUGUUAGUCACAUUAUGUAUUAAUAUUUACUUUGGCUUUGGGCUGAUUUUGGGCACUCGUUAGAUAUGUCAAUGCAAAGAGAAUAACAGGUAGAUAUCUGCAGCUGAAGUGUGAUUUCACGUUAAGCUCAAUUUUCAUAACUUCAAAUUCUGUCCAAAUUAGGUGUACGUGUGUAUAGUAUGCAAAAAGCGAAAUGCGAAUAGAAGCGGGUAUGAUUGGAUCUUACGGACACGUAUUAGUCCUUUUCACUCACCGUAGACACGAGAAUAGAGGAGGGAUCCUAUUUAGUAAAAUUGGCAGCCGAAUUUUUCACGAUCUUUAUUGACGAAGACCAGACGCAAAACUUGUUGACACUUUGUCAGGAAAACAAAAUGACUGCCACAGAAAUAUUUGCCAAAACUUCCGGGUGGGAUGAUUAAUUAAAUUAUCAACUAGAUUUCACACUAUUACAGUACACAUAUUGGGUUGCAGGUGAUCCGUGUUCGUGCAAUUAGAUGAAUAUCCUCAACACAAGCUAAUUACUAAUUACAUACUUGAUAAUUCCCCGUUCGACCCAGAUUUCUCCACGGAAAUUGCUGAAGAAAAAAUGAGUGUAAAGUGAUCAUAAUAGCAUGUUAUUCUUAUGGCGAAAAAAGGGGCACGGCAAGGAGUUGAGAUGAAUAUCAGAAACUAAUUAGCGAAUUGUUUUAGAAUUAUUUGAAGUCAAUUUGGAGGGCGGUGCGGGAAAAAUUCGCCGAUACCCUAAAUAAGGACUAUCAUAACGUGUAGUACAUACGUCAUUACACUCAAAAUAUCACUGACGGUACGGUACACUUUGGAUAAAUUAUGAAGGAGACUGUAUAUAGUAUAUAUAUAUAUGUAUGAAAAAUUGCAAUCGCUGAUAGAGUGUAACGUAUUUGAAAACUUACUGUAGAUGCAUUAUCUGCGGUCGCUUUACCACUCGUGGCCAAUAAAAAAAUUAAAUGAAUUCUUUAUUGUAAUUUUGAAUCCAUUCAAUUGUUUAAUUUGUUACUAAAACUCUACUUUAACUAAGUCGUAGCCGUAAGUUUUUAAUACUUGAUAUACUCUGUAGUUUAAAAUUUGGUGUUUAUUUAGAUCAAUUCGAUCACAUGUAACGAAUAUGCCAUAACUAAUUUAAAUGAUGGCGUAAUUUGUAAGAUAAUAGAAGGCGGUAGAUCUACCUUAGCUAUGGCAAAUUCAUGAAAAAGAUCAGUUCAGACCGCCAGGCUCUGAGAAGUGGGUUUCAAUUUAAAAAUGGUAUCACUGAUUAUAUUUUUCCCUCAACUAUUUAUAUUAAUGCCAAAGAGAUGUUUUGUACUAUAUUUUGUCUCGACAUGCCUAUGGCAGUUUUCAUUUUACGAUUGCCGUGAUUACGAUUGUUAGAUAUUUCAUGGUUUUUCAAUUUGUCACAGGAUUAAAAACUGCAAAAAUUCAUAAGCUCGAUGACACUUACAACAGGAAAUAUGAGCGAGGAUAUCAAGAAUGAGCAUGUAUGCUCCGAGUAAAUUUUCCAAAGGGUCAUCAACUUGAAUUUAAAUAUAAAUGAUAGAAAUAAAACAAUAAUUAAAAUUUUAUUUGAAAUAUAAAAAACAAAGGACAUCCAAAGAAAGUAUGUAAUAGUGGCUAAUUCAAAAACUAUUUUCGCAGAAAAUUUCCGACAAGAUAUCAAAAUCGAAAACGAGAAAAAUGUCUAGACUUUAUAACUCAUUCAUCUCACAUAAAGUACUGCAUAUAUCUUACAAUAGAUACAAGUGAAGUCUGUAAUUGGUAUGUUCUUUUCUUUAAUUUGAACCUGAAGUCAAUUCCACCAAAUAUUUGUUUCUCACAUGUCAGAUGUAAGGCACCCUCGUCUCGGUAUUUUUACUGAAAAUUGCUUCGACUAAGUCGUAACUUAGAAAUAAGGUGAAAAUCUCCUUCUAACUGCGACGAUAGUUAGAUAUCCAGAUAGAAUUAUAACAUCGAUAUUCUUGUAUUAUAUAUUAUAUGUAUAAUGAAUAAAAUAUAUAUACAUAUAUAUAUCAAACUAUAAUAUUUAUGACGGAACUAAUAUUUCCUCUACAACACACUAUUUUUUUUAGACAUGAUUAUUACGAAACAGAGUACCUUGUACAUUUACCAUGGCAAAAAACGUUGGAUUAUGAAAAACUUUUGAAUUGAUCUAAAAAAAAAAAAAAAAAAACACGUUUGGAAACUCUAAAAAAAAAUUUACAAGAAUUUU